CGCGGGAGGACUUUGCAUCCCUGUGUAGGGCUCUAAUCUCGGGUUUGGGGAUCUUGCUCCUCAGCUUGUCCGCUCCGAGGAGGUGCACAGGGCGGGGAAAAAGGGAUGAAUUUCCCUUUAUGCCGCCCUGCUCAGAUAUUUAUAUGUUCCUUCUAUUUUUCUUUUGACAAUAAUUGUAAUAGUUACAAUAAAAAUAGUGAUUGUGGCAGAGGAGCUGAAUGAAACGAGGGUGGAGACAGGAAGAUCAAGAAUAAAUGGUUUCACAAAUCGAAGGGAUUGUCUCUUGAGACGCUGAUUAUACCUACUGGCACAAGAAACUCAAAGUGGCCUGGUGGUAUUCUGUUUUCAGUUCAGUGGCACGAUUUAAUGUUUCCUAGAGGAAAUGUUCUUCCUGGAAAUGAGGAUCAUAACCCAGCUGGCUCCAGAUUUCGGAGCGAGGAGGCACAAAUUCUACAGGUGAGUGGCUGGGUGUGAUAGUAAUAGAGGCUACUCCUGUAUGCACAUAGUCCUACUGGAGACACAAUACUAUAUAUCCAUUUUGGCCCAAUGCAUUUCAGUGCAUAUACCAUAUCCUGAAGAACUGCUCCCAACUUUGCAAGGCAUUACAUCUUAAUCGCAAUUUAGCCCAGUCUUCAACAGGCCAUUCCAAA
rnacentral:lncRNA from 1 species